GGCUGGACAUGAAGUCUACUGUUGUCAAAAAAGACUUGGAGAAAUCAUGGGAUUUCUUCAUCGCUCUUUCUACCAACAAAGACUGCCCUGAUAAUCGGCGUGGGCGGCGAGCUCUGUUGGUGGCUUUGGCUGCGCAAUUUGAGGCUAUCAGAGCAAGUAAGAAAAUACGCAAGAAAAUGCAAACAGAUCAAGAAGAAAGAGUGAAAAGGAGAUAACCAACACCCGUGAAGCCCGAUCAACCAUAGAUAUAUUUCUUAUUCGUUGGUAAUUAUCAUUUUGCACUUUUGAAAAAAAAAUCAAAUGCUUUCUUUCAAGGAGAAUUGUGAUCUUUUGACAUUGUUCAUCAAUCAUUAAAGGAUUAAUGAUUCGGGAGUAUAAA